CAGUCGCCGCGGGAAUACGGAGGGUGCAAGUGUUAAUCGGAAUUACUGGGCGUAAAGCGUGCGUAGGCGGUUCGUUAAGUCUGUUGUGAAAGCCCCGGGCUCAACCUGGGAAUGGCAAUGGAUACUGGCGAGCUAGAGUGUGUCAGAGGAUGGUGGAAUUCCCGGUGUAGCGGUGAAAUGCGUAGAGAUCGGGAGGAACAUCAGUGGCGAAGGCGGCCAUCUGGGACAACACUGACGCUGAGGCACGAAAGCGUGGGGAGCAAACAGGAUUAGAUACCCCCGUAGUCCCUGUCUCUUAUAC
rnacentral:rRNA from 1 species